UCGAGAACUCAAGAUAUGAACUGAAAACAAAACAGUGUCUGAGGUGUAUGACAGAUUCUGACUUCUCCGUUGUUGCUAAGAUUUGAACUUGAAAACAACAUAAUUGAGUCUUGGACUCCUCAUAAAAGUUUUAGGUCUAUGUCUUAGCUUUCCAUC
rfam:Populus trichocarpa scaffold_19_contig_362, whole genome shotgun sequence.